CACGACUCUAUCAUAAAGUACAGUUCGGUAAAUCAAAUAAACGGUGAGAAAAUUAUAUUAUAAUAAACUGUAGCCAGAAAAAAUGUAUGAAGAGGUGGCACUUAAUUUGUUAUCUAGGUUUUGUUAAGCUUGAAUACUUAUCAACAUUUAGAUUCUGAGUGGAGAAAAGAUGCUUAUGGUAUUAAAGAUGUUAAUUUUUUUUUAUGAACAACUUUUUUACCUAACCGUGCCGAAUUCCCUAUGUUCUUUCCGGUUUUCUCUCCGUUUUCAUUAGGUUUUUUCACAUUUGAUGACUUGGAAAAUCAAAAAAUGGCCUCCCUAAAGUACUUCCUAGUCAGAUUUCCUAAUAGAAAAAUUUCCCACAGAAAAAAAGAAGACUUUUAUAUUUAACUAAUACCUACAUUUCUUACAUUAUCUCGUUUUUCCUCAGUUUUUUUCGAGUUUUCAUAUUCGUUGAUGAAAUUCACGAGAACAUCGAAAAGUUACCUCCCUAAAGUUAUUAUCAGUCAGAUUUCCUAUCAGAACAAAGAAAAAGUAGAAAAAGUGUUGACAUAAUAAUAAACAAACAAAUAAAUACAAAUUUUUGUAAAACCAAUAAAUUAUAUUAUACACUCAGAAUUUAUAAAAUUAUUUUAAUAUUAUACAUUUUGAUUAUUACAUAAUAAUAUAUACUAGGUAUAGACACUAGGAAAAAAAUAUCGCCACUAUUGACAGUCGUAUGCACAUUUCUUGUGUGUUUAUCUGGGACUGAUUUUCUUUUGAACAUAUGUUCAUGCCAUAUUACGUAGUAACUCGCACUAUGCUACAAAUAAUAUGAAUGUAAAUUGAUGUUGUUAUUAAAACAUACAAUAGUUAAAUUGUAUUUCUUUUUUAGAAGUGUCUCAAUCAACUGAUGCGGUGAUAAAUAUUAUUAUUGUGUUAAUCUACCUGAAUGCAAUGAUGUUUAUUGUUCUUAUAAUUGCUUUGUCGAUAUCAUGGACUUUUAAUAAGAUAAUGAUGUAUCGAAAUCCCAAUAUCGAUAUUCAAUUGGAAAAUAUAUCCACAGAACAGG